CUCUCUCUCUAAUCCACUCAUAGAUAGCUCCUUGCUGCAGCAACUCACGGGUGAAAAGGAGUUAGCUCGUGGGAUGUUGGGCAAGAUCCAAAAUCCUAACCCACCUAGACGUCUUCUCCUUUGGAUUUAGUAGUUUCAAGUUCAUUCAGGAUUCUUGAUUUUUGUCUUUAUUUCUCCUACUUGCAAUGAAUCAAAAUUGUUUAUUUAACCAUUAAUUGUUUGGUACUUCUUAAUUGUUAGAUCCAGAAGUUAACUGGGCAGAGCUCUUGGUGGUGCCUUUGGGGUUAUAAUCACCAUCUUCAUCAACCUGGAUCAUUUGUUGCAGGGACAUCAAGGAUCUAUAAUAUGUGUCCAGCCUCCCAGUUUUGUUUCCUUAGUUGACUUGCUUGCUAGCAAUUAGAGGAAAUAUAUGUGUUUUAGGAUUAAGUAUACUUUGCAAAUGCACGAGGCAGGACAUUUUCUCUCUUUCAUUUUGACGGUUCUAUUUUUACAUUGGCUAGGAUCUUAUUAUGUCUGCUAUGAUCUUGCCUCUGGGACAUUUUGAUGCUUUCAAGCUGCAAAUAUACUUUUAUGAGCUUAUCUUCUAAUUCUACUGUCAUGCCAGGGAGUGUGUUACAUCACCAAGAGAUCAUGGAAAUGGUACGCUGAAUACAUUUGCUUCUUGGAUUCUGGUUUCUUUUAAUCUAUUGGUGAUGUAUGGGUCAAUUUCAUUUUGGUUUCUUGUGAUAUUCCUAAAAUCUAAGAUGCAAACUUGACCAUGUGUUGACAUUUUUGGCGGCUGGGUUAUGGGAAUACGGAAAAAACUUUCAACCUUCAUCCAAAGCAAUUAAUAAGAAAAUAUGUAUCAUGUUUGCUAUAGUAAACAGUUGUAUAGCUACAUAAUAAUACCAACAGAUAGUAUAUGCUCUCCUAUUCCAGAAAUUAAUUCAGUAUGAAAACAGACAUGGGUCCGCACAAUUCUAAUGACUACUUUCAUGUUUGGUGAGUUAUGAGUUUUCACUUUUGACCGCUUCUUAUGAACCAGAUAAUAGAUAAAUGAAUGAGAGAAAGUGGCUCUAUUAUGGAUUUUUAUUUUGUCUUAAUGUAUGCUUAUUUUAUUCUAGGCCAUUUGUUCAGCAAUUUUUUUGCAUGUUUGUUCCACCUUUUAUCUAAAUAAAUAAAUAUUUCUAAAUGUAAGAAGUAAUAUUGAACUUCCUACCAUAGUGUUACUCCAUUUUCCUAAGAAAGAAACGUGUCUUCUUUGGGGAUUGCUGAUUGUAGGUCUUUGAAACUACUCAGCUACCAAUAUUGGAAAUGUAGGAAGAUACAAUCUGGGUAUAAAUCCCGUCAACUCAAUUCCAGUAUGUGCUUGUCUAUUAAAAUCAAUCUCUGUUUUGUGACUGACAUUCUCUUUUUUCUUUCUCAUACCUGAGCAUAAAACAUGCCUUUCUUAUGCCACGUUAGCAUAGUUCCCUGGAAUGAUAUAAACAAAGAAAUUUAACUUACUUAGUACUUGAUGCAGUAAGCAAUCCUUACUUAUUGCGGUGUCUCUAUAUAAUCAUACCAACUUUCUUCAGUUUAUCUACCACAUUUAGUGAGUUAUACUAUUUUUUGGAAAAAUGAGGAUAGUGAGUUACACUGUUUUUUAGCGAGCUACACUGUUGGAACUCCAAGUUCCAAAGGAGGAACAACUCCUCCAUUACCAAAACAAAGAAUUUGCCACGCUGGAUCUUAAUAUACCAGCAAACCAACUGCAGCUUAGCCAAUAGUAUACAUUUUUUUUACCAACGUGUCAAGAAACCAGAAAAUUUACCAAAUAAUGCAUAACUAAUACCAUCCCAGGGAUUAUAGCGCAUGCAUCUGCUAUAUAUGUUGUUGAUUCUUAUAGCUUUGAAUGGAUUAAAAUAUCAGUGGCCUAAAAAGUCUAUGUUCUCCAAGUCUUUACUGAACUUCAAAAUUUUAACGAUGGUACCUACUCCAUAUUGUCUUACUGCAAUAGGGGCUAAAAAAUUAUGGAAGAUAGUAAACGCGGUUAAUUUCAGAGAUGCAUAUGCUAUUUAAGAUUCAAUCCUUGUGACCUGAAACUGACGGGCUUUAGUUAAAUGUCUGGUUUAUAAGAAUAUACUAUUUCAAAUUCAACGUAGAGAGAUAAGCACACCGGUGUCUGGUUUAUGCCUUUUUUCCUUACAGAAUACUUAAUCCUAUCCAUGAUUGUUGACAGUGCAGGUUUGUGCAGGCUGACCGCCUGGUAGUAGAAGGAUAGUGCAAAUCUUUCAAUAUGGAUAAUCUUCUCUAGACAGUGGACACACAUUGUAGAUUCUUUCCUCUGUCUGUCGGAUGGAGCCUCACAUUUGACUGAGGCAGACAGUUCAGACCUUUUUUGGGUGUUGAUAGUGCAGGCUGACCACUUGCUGGUGGUAGAGCAUUCUACUUUCUUGACAUAAGUGCAUUGUAGAAAAAUCCUAACUCAUGCUCGCUGUUAGCACAGAUGUGAAGAGCUCUUUUGGUUUCCAUAUCUAUCUCAUUUUGCCUGAUUGCCUAGGUAAUACAACGGUUCAAAUGGGCUUAUAUCAUUUGUGUUAUCUUCUCAGUUACAAAGCAUGGAAAAAUAGUGAUUGUCAGCCUAUAAUCACUCUAGCACAAGAAAUUUCAGAUGCUCUUUUCAUUAAAUAACUUAUGCAAUAUAGCUAAAAGGACCUAUUUGGACUAAUGGCUAGCUUUUAGGGAAGUUGGAGUAACUAUUUUUGUUCCGUACCAACGAGGAAAUUCCUUCAUUCUAAAUGGUGAGAUAAAUGCAUCUCUAAUUUUUUCACAUGGGUGAGAUCUUCUAGCACAGAUAAUUUGUUCACCUCAGACCUUUUUUAGUGCACCAAGAUCAUGUGCUCGACAAUUUUAGUGCUUCCCUAGAGUUUUUCUUUAUAAUUUUACAUGAUCGCUUUCUUGCUAGAUUUUGUUGUUCCAUCCUAAUCAUGGUUUUAGGGAUAUUCAUUAAUUUUCACUGCAUUUCUUUAUGAAAGUUCGGUAUUCAAUGUAUGCAUGAUCCCGCUGGGCGCUCUUGCUUAAGAGCCAAGUUAUGACCGCCAAUAUUGAUCAUGUUAAUUUCAUUCCAUGGAUACACACCAGGAGAUGUGACCUAAGAGGAACUCGAUCACAUCAUGGACAAGCUUUUCGGCGUUGGAUUCCACAAUGGAGAGAAUAAUGGGACUGGCAACAUGGAGCUUCUACGUCUGAUGCGCCAUUUUUUCUUAUUGAGGUUGAAAGAUAUCUAACCUUUUAAAGUGAGGAGCACGGAAAGAAACUUCUCAAUUUCGUAUCAUCACAGUGAGUUUGAGAGAUCUGGAGAGCUUUGAUGGUGCUACCGUGUUUUGUUAUUUUGCUAGCUGUUGGUGUUGUAUUUCAAGAAAAGAAAAAGAACACAAGGAGAAUUUUUAUAGCUGCAGACAGAUUGUUUCUGGAUUUUGUUGUGAUGAUUUGAGAGAGAUAUAGGGGAUAGAUAUUUGGUAGUUUGGGGAACUCAUUAAAAUAUGUAUCGUUGGAAUUUGCAGAUUCAAAUUUAGUGAGCCCAUAGGAGUGGAUUAUCAGGGGCAUCA